rnacentral:rRNA from 1 species
UACGGGGGGGGCAAGCGUUGUUCGGAAUUACUGGGCGUAAAGGGCUCGUAGGCGGCCAACUAAGUCAGACGUGAAAUCCCUCGGCUUAACCGGGGAACUGCGUCUGAUACUGGAUGGCUUGAGGUUGGGAGAGGGAUGCGGAAUUCCAGGUGUAGCGGUGAAAUGCGUAGAUAUCGUGAAGAACACCCGUGGCGAAGGCGGCUCUCUGGGACGGUACUGACGCUGAGACGCGAAAGCGUGGGGAGCGAACAGG